rnacentral:rRNA from 1 species
GAUGAACGCUAGCGGCAGGCCUAACACAUGCAAGUCGAGGGGCAUCAUGGCGUAGCAAUACGCUGAUGGCGACCGGCGCACGGGUGCGUAACGCGUAUGGAACCUACCCACCGCAGGGGGAUAACCCGCCGAAAGGCGGACUAAUACCCCAUGGUUCCCCGACCCUGCCUGGGGUUGGGGGUAAAGCCUACGGGCGGCGGUGGAUGGCCCUGCGUGCCAUUAGCUGGCUGGUGGGGUAACGCCCACCAGGGCGACGAUGGCUAGGGGGUCUGAGAGGACGAUCCCCCACACUGGUACUGAGACACGGACCAGACUCCUACGGGAGGCAGCAGUGAGGAAUAUUGGUCAAUGGGCGGAAGCCUGAACCAGCCAUGCCGCGUGCAGGAUGACGGCCCUACGGGUUGUAAACUGCUUUUAUACGGGAAUAAAUCUCGCUACGUGUAGUGAGUUGAAUGUACUGUAAGAAUAAGGAUCGGCUAACUCCGUGCCAGCAGCCGCGGUAAA